GCUGUUGAUAAACACCAACAGGCCCGGAAGCUGCAAAAACGUGCAGAUGCAGAGCUGAAAUCGAUGCGGGAUUGACCGAAAAACUGCGCACAGGCUGCGUCGAUAUUUGGCACUCAUAAACGCCAGCAUCACGCUGUUGGGCCCAUUUGAUUUGCAAGGUCCACUCGUCGAUGUCGCGAUGAUACGAGGUCUGGAACCGCUGAUCUGUGGUAUAUGUGUACGUGCCCACAGUCAGUAUGUGGAGGUCGCGAUGCCGGAUCCAAGCAACCUGUAAUUAAACGAAAACAUUUGCGUACGCUUUAAAUAAGCCUCAAUAACAGCCUGUCUAGACUUGCAAGAUGUGCCUUUUAUACGACCAUACUAUGCUUAGGUACCCAAGUAUUAUAAGCAGAUGUAUAUAUGUUUAUUUUUGUAUUCUUCAAUUUGCAUUUGCAUUUUAAAAACCUUUGCCAAUUUGGCGCACACAAAACAAA